rnacentral:rRNA from 1 species
CCCUUAGAUGUUCUGGGCCGCACGCGCGCUACACUGAUGCAUUCAACGAGCCUAUCCUUGACCGACAGGUCCGGGUAAUCUUUGAAUCUGCAUCGUGACGGGGAUAGAUUAUUGCAAUUAUUAAUCUUCAACGAGGAAUGCCUAGUAGGCGCAAGUCAUCAGCUUGCGUCGAUUACGUCCCUGCCCUUUGUACACACCGCCCGUCGCUCCUACCGAUGGGGUGUGCUGGUGAAAUGUUCGGAUCGGCCGUUUGUCGCGGUUUCCGCGGCUCGUGGCUGAGAAGUUCAUUAAACCCUCCCACCUAGAGGAAGGAGAAGUCGUAACA